UACAGAGGUCCCAAGCGUUGUUCGGAUUCACUGGGCGUAAAGGGUGCGUAGGCGGUCGGGUAAGUCUGAUGUGAAAUCUCACAGCUUAACUGUGAAACUGCAUUGGAUACUAUUCGGCUAGAGAGUUGGAGGGGGGACUGGAAUUCUUGGUGUAGCAGUGAAAUGCGUAGAUAUCAAGAGGAACACCAGUGGCGAAGGCGAGUCCCUGGACAACUUCUGACGCUGAGGCACGAAAACUAGGGGAACAAACAGG
rnacentral:rRNA from 1 species